CAGUACCGUGAGGGAAAGGCGAAAAGAACCCCGGCGAGGGGAGUGAAAAAGAACCUGAAACCGUGUACGUACAAGCAGUGGGAGCCUCUUUAUGGGGUGACUGCGUACCUUUUGUAUAAUGGGUCAGCGACUUAUAUUCUGUAGCAAGGUUAACCGAAUAGGGGAGCCGAAGGGAAACCGAGUCUUAACUGGGCGUUAAGUUGCAGGGUAUAGACCCGAAACCCGGUGAUCUAGCCAUGGGCAGGUUGAAGGUUGGGUAACACUAACUGGAGGACCGAACCGACUAAUGUUGAAAAAUUAGCGGAUGACUUGUGGCUGGGGGUGAAAGGCCAAUCAAACCGGGAGAUAGCUGGUUCUCCCCGAAAGCUAUUUAGGUAGCGCCUCGUGAAUUCAUCUCCGGGGGUAGAGCACUGUUUCGGCAAGGGGGUCAUCCCGACUUACCAACCCGAUGCAAACUGCGAAUACCGGAGAAUGUUAUCACGGGAGACACACGGCGGGUGCUAACGUCCGUCGUGAAGAGGGAAACAACCCAGACCGCCAGCUAAGGUCCCAAAGUCAUGGUUAAGUGGGAAACGAUGUGGGAAGGCCCAGACAGCCAGGAUGUUGGCUUAGAAGCAGCCAUCAUUUAAAGAAAGCGUAAUAGCUCACUGGUCGAGUCGGCCUGCGCGGAAGAUGUAACGGGGCUAAACCAUGCACCGAAGCUGCGGCAGCGACACUAUGUGUUGUUGGGUAGGGGAGCGU
rnacentral:rRNA from 1 species